rfam:Deltaproteobacteria bacterium GWC2_65_14 gwc2_scaffold_214, whole genome shotgun sequence.
GCCGGAGUGGUGGAACUGGCAGACGCGCGGGACUCAAAAUCCCGUGGCCGCAAGGCCGUGAGGGUUCGACCCCCUCCUCCGGCA